rnacentral:rRNA from 1 species
AUGAGUAAAGUGGCGACCGGGUGAGUAACACGUGACUAACCUACCUCCAAGUGGGGAAUAACUCCGGGAAACCGGGGCUAAUACCGCAUAACAUCGCAAGAUCAAAGCAGCAAUGCGCUGGGAGAGGGGGUCGCGGCUGAUUAGCUAGUUGGCGGGGUAACGGCCCACCAAGGCGAAGAUCGGUAUCCGGCCUGAGAGGGCGCACGGACACACUGGAACUGAAACACGGUCCAGACUCCUACGGGAGGCAGCAGUGGGGAAUUUUGCGCAAUGGGGGAAACCCUGACGCAGCAACGCCGCGUGGAGGAUGAAGUCCCUUGGGACGUAAACUCCUUUCGACCAAGACGAUAAUGACGGUACUGGUGGAAGAAGCACCGGCUAACUCUGUGCCAGCAGCCGCGGUAAUACAGAGGGUGCAAGCGUUGUUCGGAAUUAUUGGGCGUAAAGGGCGCGUAGGCGGUGCCACAAGUCACCUGUGAAAUCUCCGGGCUUAACUCGGAGUCUGCAGGCGAAACUGUGGUGCUGGAGUGUGGGAGAGGUGCGUGGAAUUCCCGGUGUAGCGGUGAAAUGCGUAGAUAUCGGGAGGAACACCUGUGGCGAAAGCGGCGCACUGGACCAUAACUGACGCUGAGGCGCGAAAGCUAGGGGAGCAAACAGGAUUAGAUACCCUGGUAGUCCUAGCCCUAAACGAUGAUUGCUUGGUGUAGCAGGUACCCAAUCCUGCUGUGC